UCUUCUCCACCAUUUCUAAGGUAUGUUCAAGUCAGGUACUUGAAGCUGUGUUCGAUGGAGAUGCGGCACUUUUCAAAAAACAUCCUGAGCUAAAGGAUUCUUUAGUUCGGGUAUAUUUCCAUUCUAGAAUACCCUAGUACAACCGAUUAGAGUGUUGGGGGCCAUUGAAGGAUGCUGCUCGGGGGCGACCACGGGAUCAUCGAGGUUUUCCUAUGGAGAGCAAGGCUAGUUCACGUAUUUCAAGAAAGUCGGGAGGACCAAAGUCCAUUUUCGAAGCUCUUUGUGCCUCCCUUCUUUGAUGUGCUCUCUCCAUAAGCAGCGUAAUCUCAAAGGAGAAUUUUCAUGGCCAGAGUUGAAAGGACUCUGCUUACAUAACAUACAGACACCAAAGUUGAAGUUGCAGUAGAACAAUGAUUGUUUGAGGGACGGUUGAUUCUUUUGCAAGUAACUCAUUUCUUUCAUUGGAAAUAUUAAUUGACAGUAUUCUUGUGCUGCUCAUAACAUUUGUUAAUUUGGCUAAGGCUGGGUGAAGUCUUAGUCGCUUCGUGAUUAAAACACUAAAAUUGGAGUCCUA